CCUACGGGGGGCAGCAGUGGGGAAUAUUGGACAAUGGGCGCAAGCCUGAUCCAGCCAUGCCGCGUGAGUGAUGAAGGCCCUAGGGUUGUAAAGCUCUUUCACCGGUGAAGAUAAUGACGGUAACCGGAGAAGAAGCCCCGGCUAACUUCGUGCCAGCAGCCGCGGUAAUACGAAGGGGGCUAGCGUUGUUCGGAAUUACUGGGCGUAAAGCGCACGUAGGCGGACAUUUAAGUCAGGGGUGAAAUCCCGGGGCUCAACCCCGGAACUGCCUUUGAUACUGGGUGUCUAGAGUCCGGAAGAGGUGAGUGGAAUUCCGAGUGUAGAGGUGAAAUUCGUAGAUAUUCGGAGGAACACCAGUGGCGAAGGCGGCUCACUGGUCCGGUACUGACGCUGAGGUGCGAAAGCGUGGGGAGCAAACAGGAUUAGAUACCCUUGUAGU
rnacentral:rRNA from 1 species